UGCGGAGGGUGCAAGCGUUGUUCGGAAUCAUUGGGCGUAAAGCGCGCGUAGGCGGCCCGGUAAGUCCGUUGUGAAAGUCAAAGGCUCAACCUUUGAACGCCGAUGGAUACUGCCGGGCUAGAGUCCGGAAGAGGCGAGUGGAAUUCCUGGUGUAGCGGUGGAAUGCGCAGAUAUCAGGAGGAACACCAAUAGCGAAGGCAGCUCGCUGGGACGGUACUGACGCUGAGGCGCGAAAGCGUGGGGAGCGAACAGG
rnacentral:rRNA from 1 species